AGGUAUCGGUGACACCUGUUCAGCUGAUUCAGACUGUGCUGCAGUGACAAAUUCCGCAUGCGACACGACAUGCGGAUGUGCUGAUGGGUACAAAAUAUCUUCAACAACAUGUUCAGCAGUGCUAGGAACAAGCUGCACAGGAACUACAGAUUGCUCGGAUCAUGUUCAGAAUUCAGAGUGUUCAGCUGCUGAUGAAUGCUCUUGUACAGCAAAUUAUAUCCAAGAUGGUAAUGUUUGCGCCAAAGCAUUAGGAGAAACAUGCUCGGCUGGCGAAUGUGUGACUAACGCAGAAUGUGACACGACAUGCAAAUGCUCGGAUGGAUUCAUUGAUACAAACGGGCUUUGUG